UGGUAGUCCACGCUGUAAACGAUGAUUACUAGGUGUUGGGGACGAAUACGUCUUCGGUGCCGUCGCAAACGCAAUAAGUAAUCCACCUGGGGAGUACGUUCGCAAGAAUGAAACUCAAAGGAAUUGACGGGGACCGCACAAGCGGUGGAGCAUGUGGUUUAAUUCGAAGCAACGCGAAAAACCUUACCAAAUCUUGACAUCCCGAUGACCGCACAUGUAAAGUGUGUUCUCUUCGGAGCAUUGGAGACAGGUGGUGCAUGGUUGUCGUCAGCUCGUGUCGUGAGAUGUUGGGUUAAGUCCCGCAACGAGCGCAACCCUUGCCUUUAGUAGCCAGCAGUAAGAUGGGCACUCUAGAGGGACUGCCAGGGAUAACCUGGAGGAAGGUGGGGAUGACGUCAAAUCAUCAUGCCCCUUAUGAUUUGGGCUACACACGUGCUACAAUGGCGUAAACAAAGAGAAGCGAAAUGGUGACAUUAAGCAAAUCUCAAAAAUAACGUCUCAGUUCGGAUUGUAGUCUGCAACUCGACUACAUGAAGCUGGAAUCGCUAGUAAUCGCGAAUCAGCAUGUCGCGGUGAAUACGUUCCCGGGUCUUGUACACACCGCCCGUCACACCAUGGGAGUCGGUAAUGCCCGAAGUCUGUGACCUAACCGAAAGGAAGGAGCAGCCGAAGGCAGGACUGAUAACUGGGGUGAAGUCGUAA
rnacentral:rRNA from 1 species